rnacentral:rRNA from 1 species
UACGUAGGGUGCGAGCGUUAAUCGGAAUUAUUGGGCGUAAAGCGCGUGUAGGCGGUUUGUUAAGUCUGGUGUGAAAGCCCUGGGCUCAACCUGGGAAGUGCAUUGGAUACUGGCAAACUUGAGUACGGGAGAGGAUAGUGGAAUUUCGAGUGUAGGGGUGAAAUCCGUAGAUAUUCGAAGGAACACCGGUGGCGAAGGCGGCUAUCUGGACCGAUACUGACGCUGAGACGCGAAAGCGUGGGGAGCAAACAGG